rnacentral:rRNA from 1 species
UACGAAGGGGGCUAGCGUUGUUCGGAAUCACUGGGCGUAAAGCGCACGUAGGCGGUUCGUUAUGUCGGAUGUGAAAGCCCUUGGCUUAACCGAGGAAGUGCAUCCGAAACUGGCGAGCUAGAGUACUAAAGAGGAUCGCGGAAUUCCCGGUGUAGAGGUGAAAUUCGUAGAUAUCGGGAGGAACACCGGUGGCGAAGGCGGCGAUCUGGGUAGAUACUGACGCUGAGGUGCGAAAGCGUGGGGAGCAAACAGG